rnacentral:rRNA from 1 species
CCCUUAGAUGUUCUGGGCCGCACGCGUGCUACACUGAGUGGAUCAGCGGGUCAGGUUGCGCGAAAGCGUUUCCUAAUCUUUAAAUCCGCUCGUGAUGGGGAUUGACGGUUGCAAUUUUCUGUCAUGAACGAGGAAUACCUUGUAAGCGCGGGUCAUCAUCCCGCGCUGAAUACGUCCCUGCCCUUUGUACACACCGCCCGUCGCUCCUACCGAUUGAAUGGUCCGGUGAAAUCUUCGGAUUGCUGGAUAGGACUUCAUUGACCUAUCUGCGAGAAGUUGCUUGAACCUUAUCAUUUAGAGGAAGGAGAAGUCGUAACA